ACAUCUCAACUCCUCACGGUUUGCCCGUGAUGAGCUUGGACUUUGGGGGUCUUGCCGGCCUGCAGGUCGGCUCCUCUCAAAUGAAUCAGCUUGCCGGUGUCUGGUGGCGUCACAGGUGUGAUAACUAUCUACGCUUGUGGUUUUCUGCCAAGUAACCUCCAGCAAUGGGGGUUCACUGGAGCUCAUAAACGUCUCCUUGGUGGGGACAGCUUUGUGAAU
rnacentral:misc_RNA from 1 species